rnacentral:rRNA from 1 species
UACGUAGGGCGCAAGCGUUGUCCGGAAUUAUUGGGCGUAAAGAGCUCGUAGGCGGCUUGUCACGUCGGGUGUGAAAGCCCGGGGCUUAACCCCGGGUCUGCAUUCGAUACGGGCUAGCUAGAGUGUGGUAGGGGAGAUCGGAAUUCCUGGUGUAGCGGUGAAAUGCGCAGAUAUCAGGAGGAACACCGGUGGCGAAGGCGGAUCUCUGGGCCUGUCCUGACGCUCAGGCGCGAAAGCUAGGGGAGCAAACAGG